rnacentral:rRNA from 1 species
AGCAGCCGCGGUAAUUCCAGCUCCAAUAGCGUAUAUUAAAGUUGUUGCAGUUAAAAAGCUCGUAGUUGAAUUUCGGGGUUCUACCGUUGGUCAGGCUAUUGUCUGUACUGGCGUGUAGAAUUUCUACCUUCUGGGGAACUAUCAUGUUAUUAAUUUAGCGUGGUAGGAAACCAGGACCUUUACCUUGAAAAAAUUAGAGUGUUCAAAGCAGGCUUAUGUCUGAAUACAUUAGCAUGGAAUAAUAAAAUAGGACGGUGGUCCUGUUUUGUUGGUUUCUGAAUCACCGUAAUGAUUAAUAGGGAUAGUUGGGGGCAUUAGUAUUCAAUUGUCAGAGGUGAAAUUCUUGGAUUUAUUGAAGACUAACUACUGCGAAAGCAUUUGCCAAGGAUGUUUUCAUUAAUCAAGAACGAAAGUUAGGGGAUCGAAGACGAUCAGAUACCGUCGUAGUCUUAACCAUAAACUAUGCCGACUAGGGAUCGGACGAUGUUAACUUUCUUGACUCGUUCGGCGCCUUACGGGA